GGUCUUAUAUUCAAUUAUGAUUCUAGACUGCAAUUCUAGAGGUGUAAAGACUUACUAAGGCCU
rnacentral:tRNA from 1 species